UACGUAGGAGGCAAGCGUUGUCCGGAAUUACUGGGCGUAAAGCGCGUGUAGGUGGUGGGACAAGUCUGCUGUGAAAGCGCCUGGCUUAACCGGGCGAGGUCGGCGGAAACUGUCCGACUCGAGGACGGUAGAGGGGGGUGGAAUUCCCGGUGUAGUGGUGAAAUGCGUAGAGAUCGGGAGGAACACCUGUGGCGAAGGCGGCCCCCGGGCCGGCCCUGACACUGAGACGCGAAGGCGUGGGGAGCGAACGGGG
rnacentral:rRNA from 1 species